rnacentral:rRNA from 1 species
CCUACGGGAGGCAGCAGUGGGGAAUAUUGCACAAUGGGGGAAACCCUGAUGCAGCGACGCCGCGUGAGUGAAGAAGUAUUUCGGUAUGUAAAGCUCUAUCAGCAGGGAAGAAAAUGACGGUACCUGACUAAGAAGCCCCGGCGAACUACGGGCCAGCAGCCGCGGUAAUACGUAGGGGGCAAGCGUUAUCCGGAGUUACUGGGUGUAAAGGGAGCGUAGACGGCAGAGCAAGUCUGAAGUGAAAGCCCGCGGCCCCACUGCGGGACGGCUUUGGAAACUGCCCGGCUAGAGUGCUGGAGAGGUCAGCGGAAUUCCUAUUGUAGCGGUUCCAUGCGUCGAUAUUAGGAGGAACACCAGUGGCGAAGGCGGCUUACUGGACAGUAACUGCCGUUGAGGCUCGACAGCGUGGGGAGCAAACCGGAUUAGAUACCCCAGUAGUC